UCCUAGCCCUGAUAGAAGUGGAAAUCCUUUUUAUUUUUUCUUUAAAAAUAAAAAGAUUGCAACGAAUAGCAGGAAAUAGC
rnacentral:sRNA from 1 species